ACUUUUCCCUGUCUUGAAUGGCAACGUGGACAGCCGGCAAAAAGCGGCACGUGCGAAUAUAUGAAUGAAAGUUUACGAGGAUAGUAAGAACAGGUCAAUCUGUCAAUUGACCAUUGGUCUGUCGGACCUGCUCGAACGAAGGUUCGGAUCGUUUCUCCCUUCUGUUCGUCUUCAGACACUCGACAGGCAUACCACAGUGGCCUCACGUGUACACGCUUCGCUCUGCUCGGUUCGGAGUAUACCUACCACCACCGUACGGAAUUGGUCAAGCAGAGUGCAACAGAUAAGGGUGGCCAUGGUGGGGGAUAGUUGACUCUCUAGUGGCCAUUCGGAGUCAGUUGCUCUUAUGCUUGCCAGACAUUAACAACAACCACGUCAGGCUCUUACAGUGAGGGUCUCGUGACUCAAAACGUCACAGGUGAUUCGAAACAGCGUGGAAUUCUACUUUAUCACCGGAAAGCCUCUUGUUUUGAAUUCGUACACGAGAAGUGCCUGGACGAUAAUCCAAUUUUUUACCAGUGGAAAAAGAAAACGAUGGAAAUCGUUCGGAUUUUUAGUCGUUGACAUUUGCAUCGGUGGAUAUUUUCAGUGACAAUUGUUAAACCGAACACGCAAAUGUAUAUUGGUAGCUUUAAACAUAGUGAAUAUACGAUCGACAUAGUAAAGGGUGUAUUGGAACUACGAUUUGUGUGCAAUAUUAGGGGCCUUGGAAGUUUUUCGUCAAUUAUCGAUACAAACAAUAAUAAGAAGGACAGUGAAGGGUAAUUUGAAGAUUUGCAAGAUCAGAGUGCUGGUGUGUGACACUUCAUGGAAGAGAUCGAUUUGUACAUCGUCCGACUAUUAGUGUGAAAAGUUGAGAUUUCGCUCGAAGAACAGUAAUCGUUGAAAGAACGUUGGGAUUCCUCAAGUUCGAGGAUCGAUGUGGAAGAAUGAGGAGGAAGGAGGCUUGAUUCGUGUUUCGAAGCUUUUUCUAAGAUCGUGGAGGUCGUCCGGAUCCAGAGAACAAUGACGAUCGACGGUUAAGGAAAUUGCUACGAAAAUUCCGUGGAGGGUGAUCGAGGGUUCGUUUCACCGGGGGGUUGUUGAUAUUAUGUUAGCAACGGGAUUAUGUGCAUUUCUGAAGGUGUUGGCGAUGGCGGGAAGCGUCUCGGCGCUUCUGCCAGAAGACUUCGAAGAUCCAGCUGCUCCAGCCAACCUGCAAGAAGAAUGUGCCUCGAAAUGCCCGGAUCUCGAUUUAAAUCAGAAUCGAACGGACGACUCGAGCUCGGAGGUGGGAUGUGGCAUACGAUGCAAGAUCGACCAGUGCACAAAAGGCUGCGGAGCGUGGCAACGAGCACUCGACACGAGCUGUCAAGCCGUCUGCAAUGGAACGCAAGAAUUGCUACCACCCAAAGAAUUGUACUGUGUCCUGGGUUGUCACGACGCGCUGAACCGUUACUUUCAACAACUAAAAGCGGAAAUAGGUAUUCCAUCGGCGCCAGCUUUGGUAGCGGACUCGCUAACCGCAACUUCCCUACGACUCGAAUGGAAAGGAAUAGACAUCGAAAGACGCGGCGGAGGCAUAUCGUACUUAGUGCAAUGGAGGUACGAGGAACUGGCUGAGACCUGGCAAUAUUGUAGAAAUCAAUCGUGGGGAGAGGACGAUCAGAUUUUAGUCGAAAAUUUGCAACCUUACACGAAAUAUAGGUUUCGCGUAGCGUUACUGUUAAAAUCGUCUCAACACAAUCCGGAGCCUAUCGUUUCCGCUCCGAGCGUCGUGAUACGAACGUUGGCUGCCGGUUUACCAACCUCAGCACCGGUAAUUGUAAGAGCGGUAGCGGUAGACAGCUGCCGCGCCUCUGUGUCUUGGGAACCGGGCCCUUUCCCGAAUGGGCCACUUUUGUCUUAUGUCCUGCGUCUGCAAGGGGCUGAUCACUCCCAGCUUAAGGAUAUACCAGCCUCCGAAAACACGGACCACUACAUGUUCCAAAAUCUCGAGCCUAAUAAGAAUUAUUCCAUUAGCGUGACCAUGAGGAACGGGGUUGGAGAGGGACCACCUGCGGUAACUUGCGUCAUGACCACUCCAGAACCGGCUGUGAAAGACACGCAACAACCUAUUUUAAUUCUCGGAGGUCAGCACGUGGUUAUGAAACAAGAUGCGGACAUGUUGGACGAUCCUAGCGUGGUUUACGAAAAUACGAGCACGAUUCGAGGAGUGGCGAUUCACGUGGCUUCCGCUCGGCUCUUCAUUUCCGAUUCAUUAGGAUACGUGUACAGAACGUCCAUCACGAAACGAACGAAACCAACGGUGAUACUCAGCCCGAGCCAGGCGAACUUUAAACCUCUGAGUUUAUCGGUCGAUUGGCUGAACCUUCACUUGUACAUUCUGGGCGAGGUGAAACACGCGACAACGGUUUGGCAGAUUGCUAGAUGCAAUCUGGACGGAAGAGGUUUGACAGUGGCCGUGGCUGGCUUCUUGACGCGACCCACGCACAUCGAGGUAGACCCGUACAAUGGUUACUUAUUCUGGGUCACCAGGGGCGGUUUGUACCGAUUGGAUCUGGCUGACAUAAGCAACGGAGUGAAGCACGAGGUUCAGCCAUAUUUAAUUCUAGAAGACGCUAAUUUAGGAGCGUUCACCGUCGAUCACACCAACUUCCGUCUUCUCGUUCCCCAUCACAUCCAAAAUACUGUAAUAUCUGUCUCUCUGGAUGGUCGUGAAGUUAUAAAUCUUCGCGCCAACACGCAGCAACCAAGAUUCAAGAACGUGGUCUCGUUAGCCAUGGCGAACGGCUUGUUUUAUUGGACGAACGGGGAAGAGGUAUUGAUAGAGGGAUAUCACUCGGGACAAAACAGAUAUUUUCACAAUGCUUACCCCGAUAGGUCGAACGGUUCGUUUGUCAGUGUCAAUGUACUUAUGGACGCGAGCCAACCAGUUCCUGUCCCCGUGAAUCCUCCUACGGGCGUGCAAGCUGUCCUUGGUGUGGAGAGGGCGAAAGUUUCUUGGCAGGCGCCUCAUUUAUUGGGCGGCCAGGGUAAAGGAGCCUGGCAAAAUUGGUCUUACGAAUUGGAGAUCAAAGACGAAUCUACCGGAGAGACGAUACAUCAGAAGGAUAUCGCUGGAUCGUCUCAUACGGUGCACAAUCUUCGAGAGAAAUCAGAGUACUCGAUUAAGGCGGCGGCUUACACGAGCGCUGGCAGAGGUCCCUGGUCAACCGAGUUCAGGGGUCGAACCUUGAGGGACGGAUCACACGCAUCCAUUUUGUGGUCCGCAAACGAGGGUCUCCUAAGAAGCGACGUAACCGGAGAGAAUAUCGAUACUUUGAUCUAUAAAGCGGGCUUGAAGGAGACAGAGGUUGAUUAUCACAUCGUUGAUGUCAGCUGGUACAAGGAUAUUCUGUACAUCGUAGGAAACAAUUCUGCGUUGUAUCGGUACAAUAUUACGAGCCAUCAAAAAACGAAGAUGAAUAUCCACUCUGUCGGGAGCGUCGCUGUCGAUUGGAUAUCGAAAAAAUUGUACUGGGCUAAUCCAAAGCAACAAAUUAUAACAAGAGCAAAUUUGAAUGGAUCUCAUCAAGAGCCCAUGUCGAUUCUGGCCAUCGUUAAAGAAUUAAUGAUCGAUUCUUUGGAAGCGUACCUGUAUUGGUCAACAGGCCACGCCGUUGAAGUGGCUCGUUUAAACGGACAAGACAGAAGAUACUAUCAUUCGGAUGAAAUAUUUAACGGGAAACAAGUGAUGGGGUUAACGCUGGACACAGAGAACAGAUACGUUUAUUGGAUUGUCCGAAGCUACGAAAGUGGAUCUAUCGUUUAUCGAGCGCCAACGUCCGAAAGAAUUUCGAUGAGUCACAAAAUCGUGCCUGAGAAGGUCUCAGCACUGCAGUAUCCAAACAUGCAAGGCCCUUUAUGCUACUUCUCGGAGCAUCUUCUGUGGCUUCAAGACGACCGGAACGCGGUGAUAGGCGAUCUGUCUGGCCAAAACACGGCCAUAAUAAACGGUAUCAGCUUGUCAGGCCUUCACAUGGUGGCCGUAAUGGAUCCAGCGCUUCAUCAAUAUCCAAAGAAUCUUACAUCAGAAACCGUAGCUGUAUUACCAAACGCCGUAAACUAUAGCAGUAUUAGAGUAGAAGGCAGCUGGAGGAACUUUAACAUAUCCUGGGACCCGGUGGAGAAUAUCAAUUAUGGAACUGUCUUCUACGAAGUGAAAUUCGCGGAUUAUAUCAAUACCAAUUCGAAUCCGGAGAUAACGACGGAAACCUCGAUGCCUUAUAACAAUUCCGAACAGAUUUUGCCUUAUUCGGUCCUGGAGGUGACUGUGAAAGCCUUCACGUAUUGGGAAACGGCACACCAUACAAGGAAGAUACUGAGGUCGCCACAAAGCGUCCCCAGUCAGCCAACGAAUCCUAGAGCGUUUAUAGAGUUUCGUAAAGAACCACUGAGCGAAAAUGUCGACAUAUUUGCGAUAUUCAGGUGGGAUCAACCCGAGUUCACGAAUGGUCUGAUCACCGGAUACACGGUUCAGUGUUGGUUUAAGGAGAACAACGUCGAGAUGCAAAUCUGCGAUCAGUCGCUUAUUCCAUCCACGUUGUUAGAGCACACCGUUCAAGACCUGUUGCCAAACACGACGUAUUACUUCCAAGUUCGAGCUCAUACGGAAAUUGGCGCUGGACCGUACACCGACGUGAUCAGCGUUUCGACGAUUUACGAAAAUCCGAUACCGCAAUUGCUGGUCGCCACGAUGGACGCGGUUCGAAUAUCCGAUUUGGAUCAGGAAAUGAACUAUACCGUUACUCGGCACAUCGCGGUUGAAGUGACGUAUCUGGCCGCGGAAAGCAAAAUUUACUGGAUCAACGAAAUGCAGGAGUUGGUAACGUCGGACUUGGAUGGGGCAAACGCUACUAAAAUAUUGACGUUGAACAACAGUGCAUUUAGUAUAACUGUCGAUUGGGUGGCGAGACAUCUUUACUGGUCCGAAUCCAGCUAUCGAGAAAACGGUGGAUGUAUCAUGAAGUUAGAUUUGACCAUGUGGCAAGCUGGAAUUCUUAAAUACGAAAACAUCGUUACGACGAGCAGACGUAUCGUGAAUCUUGAUAUAUUACCAUCUACCGGAUCGUUGUAUUGGAUAGAACAAACUAAGAAAGACGGUGGAGUAAUAAUGCGGUCGAAUUUAAGCGGCGGUGAUAUUCAACCGUUCUUCGAUCAUAUAGACGAUUGUUCCUGUCCUUACAGGCCGUCCGUGAUUCCUGUGAUGACGAUCGAUAGCACCGAUUAUCAAAAACCAGUCAUGUACUGGAUUUCUUUGGAAGGUCACCUAAACAGCGCCGAUAUCGACGGAUGUAAGUGCAAUCUGAUAGUAAGCGCAGGUUUCAACAAAGGAUUACCAGCAAGAUCGUUGACCGUCGACAAGAUGAACAUUUAUUGGUCCAACAUUCCGGAAGAUCAAAUUUAUUUUGUAAAUAAAAAAUAUCCCGAUGACGAGGAGAUCAAACACUUUUAUUUACCAUCUGUACGAAGCAUCAAAGCCCUUGGGAAGUCUCUGCAAACCUAUCCGAUCACCAACUGUUUGAUUCCUCGUCAAGACUCCUACAACGUGGAAGAAGCGAGAAAAACAGCAAGUAGCAUCACUGUGAGACUUCCCGAGCCGAUUCCUCGAUUUGGCUGCGAAGGAUACAGCUUACCUACGACGCUAUACACGAUAUACGUGUCUCAAUGUCUAGAAAAUGAUCCAAACAUGUGCGAGGACAGCGACAGAACAAAGUUGCAGACUUACGAGAAGGAAUACGAAAUAAAGGAUUUGAAGCCUUUCACGAAAUAUAGACUGAAACUGGCUUUGAGUAAUUAUUACGCUGAUUCGGAGUCGAUGAGUUUAGAGUUUGAUUCUGGUGUCGUGUUACGAACCGAAGCUGGCGCUCCUACAGCUCCGGAGAACGUAACCGUGGAAGCUCUGACACCAACUUUGGCUAUCGUCUACUGGAUGCCACCGAAGAUAUUAAAUGCCGCAGCUGUACGAUACGAGGUACAUUGGAGAUUGGUUCGAUUAAUAAACGGAGCACGACAAAAGGGAGAACAAUUUAUAAAAGGCACCGAACGCACAACCGAUGGAAGAUUCUUCACCAUGUUGGAACCAUGGCUACCCGAUCAGGAGUAUCUAGUGUUCGUUCGCGCUUAUCCUGCCCACGUUAACGAUGUAUACAGCGAAAGUCCCGGUCAAGUAGUCAAGAUGUAUCCAGAACCUAAUAAUUUGACGUUAACCGGGGUUAGCGUGAAUAGCUUGAACGUAUCCUGGGUGCCAACAGUCGAUUUGAUGGUCAAAUACACGUUGGAAUACAAAGAUGUUGCUGUAGAAAAUUGGCAAGAGGCGAAUGACUUUACGAUGGAAAACGAUAAAGUGACGUAUUUCAUCAAAAAAUUACAACCACGAACUUUGUACAAAUUUCAUCUGCUUCUGAGAUAUCCAAAUUACAAGAAAGAUUUCGUGUGGCCAACAGAUGGGAGGUUCACGUUUCAAACGUUAGGUGAUGUACCGAGUGCUCCAGGUAUGCCAACGGUAACCACACUCCGUAACUCUGUGUACCAAUUGAAUUGGGAACCAGCGCAAGCUCAUGGCUCGCAGAUCACGUUGUACCGUGUCGAGGGGAUGAAGAUCAAUGAAAUUAACGAGCAAAUAGACUCCGCCGGGAACGCGAGCUGGAAGUUGUAUUACAAUGGGACGGACAAUUAUUGGAUAAUCACGGGAGACAUGGACGACAAGUAUCGGUUUCGUAUUCAAGCUAGAAACGCGUACGGUUUCGGUAGUUGGAGCAGAUCCAGCCCGAUCAUUGAUUUAACUGAAGCCACCGGUGGAAUAUUAGCAGAUCAACGACAAAUUGGUUUAGUGUUGGGACUUUUCGUCACUGUUAUCACUUUUAUCAUUUGCUUCUGUUAUUUCCGUUGCCCAGUGUACCGGCAAUGCAAAGACGAUAAAACGGCGGUUUUACCUCCGUUAGUGAGCGACGUCGAGUUAGCGACGCUUCGGGAGAUACCACGCGGAAAUUUCGUUCAAUCGAACGCGUUGUACGCGUCUACCUUGCAGAACGAUCCGGACGAUUCUACGCUUCCUAAAAUCAGAAGGGAACAGAUUACCUUAGCAAAGUUUUUGGGUAGCGGAGCCUUUGGUGAAGUAUUUCAAGGGAAUGCGAAGGAUUUGGAAAGACCAGGAGUUACGCCAGUUGCGAUCAAAACGUUGCGAAAGGGUGCCUCGGCCCAGGAAAAGACAGAGUUCCUUCAAGAAGCUAGACUCAUGAGUCAUUUUCGACAUAAACACGUGUUAAGACUUUUGGGAGUCUGUUUAGAUACCGACCCACCGUUAUUGGUGUUGGAACUGAUGGAAGCUGGAGAUUUACUGAGUUAUUUAAGGGCGAGUCGAUCUUUGCAACCAUCGGAUCCACACGCGUUACGUCUGCAAGAUUUGCUCGCUAUGUGCGAGGAUGUGGCAAGGGGAUGCCGUUAUUUGGAGGAGCUCCAUUUUGUACAUAGAGAUCUCGCGUGUAGAAAUUGUUUGGUAUCUGCCAGAGAUCGAGAGAACCGUGUCGUUAAGAUCGGUGACUUUGGACUGGCCAGAGAUAUAUAUAAGAACGAUUAUUAUCGAAAAGAGGGAGAAGGAUUACUUCCUGUUCGAUGGAUGGCACCUGAAUCGUUAGUGGACGGUGUAUUCACUUCACAGAGUGAUGUCUGGGCAUUUGGUGUAUUAAUGUGGGAAAUCACGUCCUUGGGACAACAACCGUAUCCUGCCAGAACAAAUAUCGAAGUAUUACACCAUGUACGCGCAGGUGGAAGGUUGCCCAAAUCUCUAAAUUGUCCACCUGCUUUACAUCAGCUCAUGUUGCGUUGUUGGAGCGUUGCCGAUGCUAGGCCGAGCUUUAAAGUUUGCCUUGAAAAUAUAGUUAGUCUUCGAAGUACCAUAGAGGAUGCACAACUGAACCCGGUUCAUGCUGGUCAUUAUUUAGCUAGAAGAGGGAAUUCUUGGAAAUCCAGCAGCUCAGAAGGCAGCCGAGAUAUGCAACCGUUCCUUCAGAAUUCCCAUAAUGCGACACUUACAUCACAAUCGAAUGAAAUACCGAAAUAUUUAGAAUUGUUAGCGGAUAACGAAGAUAUCAUGCCAAGGGAAAAUUCAACAAACGGAUACGAAGUGCCUCGGUCGAUUCAUAUCUCCGAUCAAAAUGUAGCCAAUAUGAAUAAAUCUAGUACAAACGUAGAUGUAAAGAGCAAUUUGCAUUCUGAUGCGCCACAAGAACAUAAAGAUGCUUCGAAUGAUGCGAAAGAACAACCAGAAAGAAAGUGUGACAAGAGAUCGUCGAUAUCUAGUUUGAAUUUACCAGAACGUAAAAGAGCAUCGAUCACGAGCAUGACUGAAAAAUGUAACACUUUAGAUAGUUCGAAAUUAACUAAUCCUACUAUUAAAGCGAUUUUAAAAAGAGAUUCCUUCACAUCAUUGACUGAUCAGCGGAAAAAUAAGAGGAACGUAACCGAACGACGAGAAUCGGAAUUAAGUUUAGAAGGUAGAAGUUCUAGUUCUUUAAGCUCGAAUAUUAGUUUAGCGCCACCUACUCGACCUAGUUCAUCGUUAAUUAGUUCACAAAAUGUUCUUCCAUUAAAGAACGGCGUUAUCGGAGGAACCGGCGAGUCAAACGAUAAUAACGUUACGAAGAACGCAUUGCCAAAAAUUCAAAGGACUCAUUCCAAUUUGCAAAAUGGUAAAGCUAACAUACCUUUGGUGAUAAACAGUGCAUUAUUGAACUUAUUGAGACAGACUCCAGUUGUCGAGGAUAGUAACAAUAUAGUCACAUACACGAACAUAAAUACGGAUGCUGUUAGAGUAAACGGAUCGUGAAGUUUUUAUUAAAGAUGUGAUGGAUUAAGUGAUUUGAUGGGUCGUGUUUCUAAAACAGAAUCAUAAUUUCAAUAAUAACUCCGUACCGAAACUGGAAAUGCGUGUAUAGUUCCAUAGCUUUAAACUGCCAUAUUAAUGUAUGUACAUAUUUAAGUUUUAGUAUCUGAAAUUUAUUUUACAUGAACUGUGGCAGAAAGAUUUCAUUUGAUAAUGACAUUAAUUUUAGUUGACUAUCGGACUUGUUGCUUAGUAUCUUAGAAUCAAGAAUAGUUAGAGAGAAUUAUGUGGUGAGUAAUCUGCGUUAGUUUUAUAUUUGUCAUUACAACUAAUGUAUUUAUUUAAUGACACGGAAGUAUGAGUAAAUUUUCACCAUUCAUUGUACAAAUUUCAUAUUAGCGGUAAUAUAAAGUAUAGUAUGAAAACUGAUAUUCAUAUUACGUUUAAGGACUUGUUAAGUUUUACACAUACAUGUAGUGGUUCUUUUUAAAACAGUACAAGAAUAAAUUUUUGCAUAUAUUUAACUUUAUGUGACUGAACUGAGAAUUUUUAAAACUUGUAUUUUCAAAUUUCAUUAUUAAUGAUUUAAGAAUCAAUAAAAUUCGAAGAGGUUUGUAAAUACUUUAACAAUAUAUAAAUUUCCUACUUUUUAAA